CCUACGGGUGGCAGCAGUGGGGAAUAUUGGGCAAUGGGCGCAAGCCUGACCCAGCAACGCCGCGUGAAGGAAGAAUGCUUUCGGGUUGUAAACUUCUUUUCUCAGGGACGAAUAAAGUACCGUUACCUUAGAAUUAAGCCACGCCUAACUACUUGCCAGCAGCCCCGGUAUUCCGUAGGUGGCAAGCGUUAGCCGGUUUUCUGGGGUGUAAAGGGCUUGUAGGCGGUAGCGCAAGUCAGAUGUGAAAACUCAGGGCUUAACCCUGAACCUGCAUUUGAAACUGUGUUUCUUGAGUGCUGGAGAGGCAGACGGAAUUCCGUGUGUAGCGGUGAAGUGCGUAGAUAUAAGGAGGAACACCAGUGGCGAAGGCGGAUUGCUGGACAGUAACUGACGGUGAGGCGCGAAAGCGUGGGGAGCAAACAGGAUUAGAUACCCGUGUAGUC
rnacentral:rRNA from 1 species